GGGAAGCUCGGCGGGGCGCGCCCGAGGCUCCCGGCCGUCUGAACGCGGGGGCCCGUGAGCGACGCGCCGGGGGGGGGGGCAUGUUAUCCCCCCCUGCGGGCGGGGGAAGCCAAAGGGGCGCUCUCCCGGGGGGGCGUUUUCCCGGCCCCGCCCCAGCGCAGGGGCGACUCGGGACGGACUUGGAGUUAGGGUCCUAACCCCGGCGGGACGGAGACGGUCUGGCCGCCGCAGUACGACGCGCUGAGCUGCUGCGGUCGGUUCAGUUCCGUGAAGCGGUGAAAUAAAAACAACAACAACAGGCCGCUGCCACCAAUGACGCAGCCGAGUUUCCCGCCUCCGGGGCAAUGGCUGGGGUCAGCACCCCCGCAGCGCAAUGGCUGAGCCUCGCCCUGGGGAAACCACCUUCCUGGUCAUGGUCUCGCCGCUGCCGCCUGGAGACGCUCAACUAGACCGAGCCCUGGCGUGUGACUGACCCACCGAAACACACCGUGUAACCUACAGGCACCCUACCCCUUUUGUUCCCUUCAUAAAGCUUAGAAUGAUGGUGAAGGCAUGAAAGAUAGAAUAGUCACUAAUACAAGCCGUAGAGAAAAGAGGAAGAGAGAGCCAACAGAAAAGUACCAUGAGUUCACCCCUAAGACAAGUGCAACUCUUUAAUGCAAACGGGAGACACAUGAACAAGAGGAAGGGCUCCUCAAAUCUUUACGGCAACAUAAGGAUACCCCAGUGCUGAGAAUGGAUGACUGCAUCACAGACCAUACCCAGAGCCCUGUGAUCUGAAGAGGUCACCCUUAAAGUGUUUGUAAUGAAAAGAAGGAAGACUGCUUGGAUUGAGUCCCACUGUAAACCCAUAACACUGCAAACAGAAGCCUUCUCCACUCCUGUUCUAGGAGAAUCCUGAGUAUAUUGGAUGUGGGAAGGACUACCAGGCUGUGCAGAAUAUAGGGAUAAUUAAUAUCGUUGAGCAGAUUUCUGCCACAAGACGAGCACGUAGAUUUGGCUCGAUGUAAGUAAUGCCCUGUGGUUUAGAGUAUGUACACAUUUAUCAAGACCAUGCAGACCUUGGUUAUUACCGACCCUACAGAACGGAACCUGUGUGUGAAGACUCACUGCUCAAGUGCAACACUAUGGGGAAAACCUUUGUCCUGUUUAAGUCAACAGGAGUUUUGCCAUUGACUUUGGUGGGGGCAGGACUUCACUCUAUAACAAAUGGCAGGUAUCAGAUGUACAUACAAGAAGAAAUAAAAAUUAAGGCAAGGAAAAAGAUUUCACUUUGCAGAUAUCAACUUAUAAAUGACAGUGGGGAAAAAUUACAUGAAAAAUUCCUUAACAAGGGCCUUUAAAUUCAAACGGCACUUGGCUUAAAAAAAUCCACAAAAUAAAUGGGGAAACUGCCCUGCUCACUGCUAGGAAAAAGCCAAACUAUGGGACUAACUGAAAGACAGCUGCUUUCUGAUGUAAUUCAACCCCUAACACCACGAUACAAUGGAGCAGGGUGUUGGGAAACCUAAUUCUCUUUUCUGGAUUGCUUUAAUAAUGCUGCAAAGAAGAGAUGUACCAGUUGCCAAAUUAAAUGGAUCAAGAAAGUUCUCUGUAACUUAAAAAUAGGAAAUAAACUUAGAAACAUUUCAACUAUCAGCCCCUCUUCAGUAAUGAUUAGCAAACACAAAGCAGGAUUAACUCCACUGUAAGAGUUGCCAAACUGCUUUGAUGAUUAAUUUGGGCAGUGCCAAACACAAGGGACGGUAUGUGCUAUACAUGCAGCGUGCUGCAAUUUUGUUUCUCUUGGCAGCUUGUUCCAGCUAUUACCAUGUGGUCUUGAAAGGGCAUAUAAAUGCAUUUUCCUUUUGUCCUUGGGUGCAGGACAAAGAUUGUCCCACUGCUGAAGUUUCCAUCUGGUUAUAACAGUCCUGGGUAUAUGCACCAUGGUGGGAACACAUUUGUUAGUAAUGCAUAUGAUAAGCAGAGAUAUCUUUAGGGUGACUCCCUGCACAAAGAAGCAUGUUUGGGAAGAAAGGAAGCCCCUGUUCUCCCACAUAUGGGAGUGGGGGCAAAAGAUCUAUCUGGUUUUAAGAUUCUACUUGAUAAGUUUAUGGAGGAGAUGGUAUGAUGGGAUAAUGGGAUUUUGGUAAGUAAUUGAUCUUUAAAUAUUCAGGGUAAAUAGG